rnacentral:rRNA from 1 species
GUGAACGAGCGACGCCGCGUGUGCGAUGAAGGCCUUCGGGUUGUAAAGCACUGUCGUGGGGGAGAAAGCCCGCAAGGGUCGAUCGACCUCAGGAGGAAGCUCGGGCUAAGUUCGUGCCAGCAGCCGCGGUAAGACGAACCGAGCGAACGUUAUUCGGAAUCACUGGGCUUAAAGGGCGCGUAGGCGGGUGAUCAAGUCAGGGGUGAAAGCCUCCAGCUCAACUGGAGAAGUGCCUCUGAUACUGGUCGUCUCGAGGGAGGUAGGGGCGUGCGGAACUUCCGGUGGAGCGGUGAAAUGCGUAGAUAUCGGAAGGAACACCGGUGGCGAAAGCGGCGCGCUGGACCUCUUCUGACGCUGAGGCGCGAAAGCCAGGGGAGCGAACGGGAUUAGAUACCCCGGUAGUCCUGGCCCUAAACGUU